rnacentral:sRNA from 1 species
CACAGCCACGCUCGGACUGCAGGGCCCCGGCCCCGCCUUGGCGCGUCUGAAGGAUGCGGCUCUGCCCCGGAGCUGAGGAGACGUAGCCUUUUGCGGUGGAUGCAGAUGACGUCAUGACUAAAGAGGAACAGAUCUUCCUGCUGCACCGUGCUCAGGCCCAGUGUGAAAAACGGCUCAAGGAGGUCCUGCAGAGGCCAGCCGACAUAAUGGAAUCAGACAAGGGAUGGACAUCUGCGUCCACAUCAGGGAAGCCCAGGAAAGAUAAGGCAUCUGGGAAGCUCUACCCUGAGUCUGAGGAGGACAAGGAGGCACCCACUGGCAGCAGGUACCGAGGGCGCCCCUGUCUGCCGGAAUGGGACCACAUCCUGUGCUGGCCACUGGGGGCACCAGGUGAGGUGGUGGCUGUGCCCUGUCCGGACUACAUUUAUGACUUCAAUCACAAAGGCCAUGCCUACCGACGCUGUGACCGCAAUGGCAGCUGGGAGCUGGUGCCUGGGCACAACAGGACGUGGGCCAACUACAGCGAGUGUGUCCAAUUUCUCACCAAUGAGACUCGUGAACGGGAGGUGUUUGACCGCCUGGGCAUGAUUUACACCGUGGGCUACUCCGUGUCCCUGGCGUCCCUCACCGUAGCUGUGCUCAUCCUGGCCUACUUUAGGCGGCUGCACUGCACGCGCAACUACAUCCACAUGCACCUGUUCCUGUCCUUUAUGCUGCGCGCCGUGAGCAUC